AUUGAACGCUGGCGGCAUGCUUUACACAUGCAAGUCGAACGGUAACAGGCCGCAAGGUGCUGACGAGUGGCGAACGGGUGAGUAAUGCAUCGGAACGUGCCCAGUCGUGGGGGAUAACGCAGCGAAAGCUGCGCUAAUACCGCAUACGAUCUAUGGAUGAAAGCGGGGGACCGUAAGGCCUCGCGCGAUUGGAGCGGCCGAUGUCAGAUUAGGCAGUUGGGGGGGUAAAGGCUCACCAAGCCAACGAUCUGUAGCUGGUCUGAGAGGACGACCAGCCACACUGGGACUGAGACACGGCCCAGACUCCUACGGGAGGCAGCAGUGGGGAAUUUUGGACAAUGGGCGCAAGCCUGAUCCAGCAAUGCCGCGUGCAGGAAGAAGGCCUUCGGGUUGUAAACUGCUUUUGUACGGAACGAAACGGUCCUGGUUAAUACCUGGGGCUAAUGACGGUACCGUAAGAAUAAGCACCGGCUAACUACGUGCCAGCCGCCGCCGUAACAC
rnacentral:rRNA from 1 species